AUCUAUAUCACCACUAUCCGUUAAUGGCUAAGCAACAACUCCAUUCUCGGAGCUCAAGACAGUCCGGUGUAGAAACUUUGUUGCGACAAGGAUCCUUCGUUUAUGGGAAACUCGCAAUCGAUCUGGUUGUGCUGAUGGAAAGUCAACUCUGAUCCAGGGGUCAAUGAGCCUGCACCGACUCAAUAAAGCUCCACGAGUGGGCUGAAAGCAGGGACCUUAUCCUGAUGGAGUUCUUCCGCUUCUGCAGUCACUACUAGCUCAUGUUGAUGGCCAGUCGCUCUUUAAUUCAUUGACAGUGUCUGAACAUAAUUCCUAUGUUCUCAACUUCCAAUCGUAGUAAAAUUCUAAAAGAUACUGUGUUGAGAUGAUCUGUCGGAUACAUCUGAUGUGUUUGUUUGUUUGACGCUGAAAUGAGCAAGUUGACAAAUGUACCUGCUGCUGCAGAAUCAUAACUCAUGGCUGCUGGACAGGAAGACCCCCAGAACAUGGCCUUCCACAAUGCCUCACAGAUGGUGGGGAAGACCUUCACUUUUCAGCUCAAGCUUACAGACUUUAAUUUGUCAGCAAGCAUCAGUCUUUCACAAUCUCAUGCAUAUUUGAUCCCAACCAUCACCCACCACUUCCUAAUUUUGUUGAUCAGGUCAGGACAACUCAAGAGAUUACAUGCCAGGAGCUGGUUCUGAUUCAAAAAUCUGCACUAGGAAACUCUUUUGUCAACCUCAAACAAUAUUGAUAUUGAACCAAUCUACUAUAUCGUUCAGAAUUGUGAAUUUCUCACGAAUGUUUUAAGUUCAGGCCUUAACUUCUUACUGAGCUUAGACGAGUUAAUAAUAGUUUCGUUUACCAACAGUUAAAACUUUUUAGUUUUUUUUGUUAAGAUUGUUAACAUGUUUCAGACUAGACCGUGAAAAAU